AAAUUCUUUUUCUAGUGAUUGGAAUGAUGGGAAUCCAAACCCCUUUCAGAGUAACAAUUGGAGGGCAAGUCUGGUGCCAGCAGCCGCGGUAAUUCCAGCUCCAAUAGCGUAUAUUAAAGUUGUUGCAGUUAAAAAGCUCGUAAUUGGAUAUCUGCUGGAAGCAGCCAGUCCGCCCUUUGUGGGUGUGCACUUGGUGAAUUCUGGCAUCCUCCUGAUUGGUGUCAUCAUCACUUCAUUGUGUUGGUGGCAGCUGUCAGGACCGUUACUUUGA
rnacentral:rRNA from 1 species